CCCUUAGAUGUCCUGGGCCGCACGCGCGCUACACUGAGUGUCUGAGAUACGAGUCUGCCUGGUCCGGCAAGGUCUAGGUAAUCGCUAAUAGACACAUCAUGCUUGGGAUAGAUUAUUGCAAAUAUUAAUCUUGAACGAGGAAUUCCUAGUAAGCGCAAGUCAACAGCUUGCGUUGAUUACGUCCCUGCCCUUUGUACACACCGCCCGUCGCUACUACUGAUUGGAUGUUUAAGCGAGGUUCUCGAACUGCUAGCGACUUAGCUUCGGUGAGGUCGCAGUGUGGGAAGUGAACCUAGCUUUGGUGUCUAGAGGAAGUAAAAGUCGUAACA
rnacentral:rRNA from 1 species